GGAUCUACCUCUUUGGGUACCACUAAGACCAUAUAGAAAUAUAUAACGUACUGGGGCCUUAGGAAUGGAAGUUAAAUAUCAAUGGUCAUUCUCAUUACUUUCCUUUUUUUUUUUUUUUUUUAAUGCAUUACCUAUAUGUGACAAACUCCCCUUUUCUUUUUUUUAUUUGUAUUUUAUUAGUUUUAAGGCUCAAAAUACAUCAGAUCACAUUAAUUGAAGAAAUAGUUUAUGUGAACAUAGAUUAUAAUGCAUUAUUGUUUUGGCCUAUCGAUCUCUGGUGGUCCCGUGACGUUAGGUAUCUAUGUGUGACCUGUAUAGGGCCUUGGAGGAGCGUCAGCCUACUCAAAGUUGAGGUGUGUUGGUUGUUGACAUUGUAUACUGUCUAGGUAUCAUGGAAGUAUAUAUAUUGAGCAGCUCUUGGUUUGGUAAUUGUAAGUUAUUUUUUUCUUGUGUCCCCGUGUCUAUUGUAAUCCAAAGUCCGUCUGUCGUCUGCAUGUAUCUGUACUCUAGUCGCUAUCACAGCAUUGUCCUGUCUCCUGUUGUCUCAGUCCCUUAGCAUUUUUCGUGGGGUUUCACCUGGCACUAAGCGGGGCGCGCUUCGGAUAUUUAUUGUGUGAAGUCGUCUGGCUUCCCUCAUGCACACCUGUCUGUCGUAGUAACACUAAGUUCCCCAAACAUAGGCAUUAGGCCCUGGAACCCAACCCUGUGUGUGGCUAUGGGCUGGUAGGAGCCAUCCAGGACUGUAACAUCUGGUUAACACAACAAUAUAAAGUAAAAAAGGAAAGAAUAACUUGACGUGCAAUAUACAUUUAGUACGUGCAUAUGAUAUGGUGCGUCUAUGAUGGGG